rnacentral:lncRNA from 1 species
GGAGGUCGGUGACCCACGUGUGUGAUAGUGGGUGACAAAUCAGAAUCAAACUGUCUGCCCCCUGGGCAGUCCUAAGCAAAGCUUCAUCUGUAAUUGGUAGAUGUAAAAGUGGAGGAAGGCAUAAGAAGUGACACAGAAGAAAGUGUAUUUAAAAGGGAUUUACAACUUCUUGUGGGGAGGUUCUUCAAGAGUUCUUCGGGCUUGGGACUUCUUCUGAGAGUUCUUGAGUUCUUGUGCUUGGGACUUUUGACUGCUCUCAUUCUUUGGAGUUAUGAGUUCUAGUUGGAGGCUGGUAAAGAAUCUGCUGACUGGACCUGAGACUUAUACUUGAGACACACCUUGGCCAAGACAGAGAAGCUGCAGUUUUCUUUUCAAGCCUAUCACCCCAGAUUGGGAUGAUGGAUGGACUCUAUCAAACUGGUUUCAAUCUGUAUAAAAGUUUUGGAGAAUUUAAUUAUCUAAUAAUCUCACUUGAUUUUAACGGGUCAUCAAAAGUGAUUUUCAGAUAUCUGGGAGCAUCCCUACCUCUGACUGAUCAUUUGCCUGCCUCUGAGUUGUUUGUAACAGGAGUUGCUCAUGUAGGAACAUUUCAGGAUGCAUAUGGCUGUUGUGCAAGGGCUGCAGAUGGCUCCUUAGAGCUGGGUUGAACAGAUAUUUGUCAAGAAGACCUGGGUGUUGACAUCCAGACAGUUACGCCAAGUUUAAAGACUCGGAUGGGGAUACAGACAGAACUGGAAGCCAAGACUCUUCAUCUGAGCAUGCAAACACCUGGGAUCCUUGCUAAGAGGAUUGCUAAGAUAUUGGCAAAGGCUAAAUGCUGCCUUUUUACUGUUCCCUCUGAGGAAUCUCAUCUUAGGGAAUGCUCAUCUGGUUUGAAGUGGGACUGACCACCUGAACCUCAUUGCUCUUUGGUGACUAAGGUCUAAUUUUGGUCCUGAUCUUAGCAAGGUGCUAAGGAACUGCUUCCUACAAUGCAGCACCAGAGUAAAAUGACCAAUAAGUAUUUCUCUGGGUGUCAACUUUUAGCAUUGUAUCCAAGAAACACCCAACACCUUGACUGAGGUUCCUGUUGAAACUCAGAUUGCUUGGGAAUGGGACGAUAUAUUGGGGACAAAGUGAUGUUUCGACAGGGGUCAUGGAUUCCUUUGGAAUUCUUGAAAAGCUUAUGGAUCCCUUCUCAAAAUAAUGUUUUUUAAUGCAUAAAAUAAAUGUGUGCCUUAAAUAACUUUCA